AUUGAACGCUGGCGGCAGGCCUAACACAUGCAAGUCGAGCGGAGCGGCGGACGGGUGAGUAAUGCCUAGGAAUCUGCCUGGCAGUGGGGGAGAACGACCGGAAACGGGCGCUAAUACCGCACACUAGCAGUUGAGUCUAGGUCGGAUUAGCUAGUUGGUGGGGUAAAGGCCUACCAAGGCGACGAUCCGUAACUGGUCUGAGAGGAUGAUCAGUCACACUGGAACUGAGACACGGUCCAGACUCCUACGGGAGGCAGCAGUGGGGAAUAUUGGACAAUGGGCGAAAGCCUGAUCCAGCCAUGCCGCGUGUAUGAAGAAGGUCUUCGGAUUGUAAAGCACUUUAAGUUGGGAGGCGUUACCAGCAGAAUAAGCACCGGCUAACUCCGUGCCAGCAGCCGCGGUAAUUC
rnacentral:rRNA from 1 species